UACGUAGGGUGCAAGCGUUGUCCGGAAUUAUUGGGCGUAAAGAGCUCGUAGGCGGUUUGUCGCGUCUGCUGUGAAAACUCGGGGCUUAACUCCGGGCCUGCAGUGGGUACGGGCAGACUAGAGUGCGGUAGGGGAGACUGGAAUUCCUGGUGUAGCGGUGAAAUGCGCAGAUAUCAGGAGGAACACCGAUGGCGAAGGCAGGUCACUGGGCCGCAACUGACGCUGAGGCGCGAAAGCGUGGGGAGCGAACAGG
rnacentral:rRNA from 1 species